GUUCAGCUUUAUUAUAAACAUGCAAUUCAUAAAGAUCUGUGGCUUUGUAUUCGCUAUGAUUGUGGCCCUGGCGUCUGCCGCCCCAGAACCUCAAGGCACUCUGCUCAUACAAACCAACAAUGCUCAGGGCAUUUUUACGGGCUGAUAAGUAAUUUUACCUACAAUAUGAUAUUAAAAAAAAAACUAUAAAUACCAUUGAAACAUGA
rnacentral:sRNA from 1 species